rnacentral:tRNA from 1 species
GGCAACUUGCCAGAGUGGUUAAUGGGUGAGACUCGAAUAUGCUAUACGCAAUUCAGCCAUCUCAUGGCUUCGGCCGCGUAGGUUCAAAUCCUGCAGUUGUCG